rnacentral:rRNA from 1 species
UACGGGAGGCAGCAGGGGGGAAUAUUGCACAAUGGGCGCAAGCCUGAUGCAGCCAUGCCGCGUGUAUGAAAAAGGCCUUCGGGUUGUAAAGUACUUUUCAGUCGUGAGGAAGGUGUUAAGGUUAAUAACCUUAGCAAUUGACGUUAGCGACAGAAGAAGCACCGGCUAACUCCGUGCCAGCAGCCGCGGUAAUACGGAGGGUGCGAGCGUUAAUCGGAAUUACUGGGCGUAAAGGGCACGCAGGCGGUUAAUUAAGUUGGAUGUGAAAUCCCCGGGCUUAACCUGGGAAUGGCAUUCAAGACUGGUUAGCUAGAGUCUUGUAGAGGGGGUAGAAUUCCAUGUGUAGCGGUGAAAUGCGUAGAGAUGUGGAGGAAUACCGGUGGCGAAGGCGGCCCCUGGACAAAGACUGACGCUCAUGUGCGAAAGCGUGGGGAGCAAACAGGGAUUAGAUACC